UAAUACGUAGGGGGCAAGCGUUAUCCGGAUUUACUGGGUGUAAAGGGAGCGUAGAUGGUCUAGCAAGUCUGAUGUGAAAGCUCGGGGCUCAACCCCGGAACUGCAUUGGAAACUGCUUGACUAGAGUGCAGGAGAGGUAAGUGGAAUUCCUAGUGUAGCGGUGAAAUGCGUAGAUAUUAGGAGGAACACCAGUGGCGAAGGCGACUUACUGGACUGUAACUGACAUUGAGGCUCGAAAGCGUGGGGAGCAAACAGG
rnacentral:rRNA from 1 species